UACAGAGGGGGCAAGCGUUGUUCGGAAUUACUGGGCGUAAAGGGCGCGUAGGCGGCCUGCUAAGUCGAACGUGAAAUCCCUGGGCUCAACCCAGGAACUGCGUCCGAUACUGGUUGGCUUGAAUCCGGGAGAGGGAUGUGGAAUUCCAGGUGUAGCGGUGAAAUGCGUAGAUAUCUGGAGGAACACCGGGUGGCGAAGGCGACAUCCUGGACCGGUAUUGACGCUGAGGCGCGAAAGCCAGGGGAGCAAACGGG
rnacentral:rRNA from 1 species